GGUGAUUGAAUAUUUAUUUUGGUUUUUGAAUAUAAUAACUUUAGUAAAAGUAUAUUAGUGUCAUGAUAAAUUUUUUAUUGUAAUUUAGUGAGAAAAAUUAAUUGUGAUUAAGUUUGAUAAAAAUUUAUAAAUGGUUAUUGAAUAUUUUUUGUGAUUUUGAAUAGAAUUAGUAAAUUUGUAUUAGUAUAGUAUUUGAUUGUAAUAUUAUAUAUUAUUCUGUAUAAUUAGAUAUGAAGGAAAGAUGCAACAGCCGUGAUUAUAUUUUAUCGGGUCCUAAUAACCCAUCGUUGUUCUAUGCAUAAUCAGAACAUCGGUCUGAGGCUAUAUGGCAACAAACUAUAAAAACUGGAGUGAUAGCCUGCAAAAGAAAGGGUACGAUUUUGCAUUUGAAUGAUAUUUCAAAGCAAAUUAUAACUCACCUACGGCAUACGGGUUUUUAUAGUGUGAUAUGUUUAGAUUUUUUUGCUUCGGUGGCGACUAGAGACCCAUACAUUUAUGUUUUCGGAAGGAGAAAUGACUAUUACCUUUCAGAAUGUGGAACUAAUUGUCAGUACAACCAUACAGACAUGUCCCGCCCCAGCUAUAAUUGUCGAUUUCAUCCAGAUCUGGCCAAUAACGCUAAAAACAUGAGAUUCACACAAGAAACAGAUGUAUCACUGAAAAUAGAUCCAAUGACCUUCAUAAUAUAUGCUCGUGCGAACCUCUGUACAACUUCCUCAUGAGCAUCAUCCGAAAGUUAACUAAACUCCUCAACUAGCCAGAUCAUUUUCAAAUAACACCCUCUUACGGCAUUAUUAGGUGGAACGACAUCUAAUAAUACAUCACAUACUAUUGGCCAAUGGUGACAUGAUCAGCAUGCAACAACUGCACCAUUAACCGACAACCUAGCAAUUAGCCCCACAUCCGCUUCUGAAAACAUAAAUGUAUGGGUCUUUAAUCGCCACCGCUCAACAAGAACAGUAAUUAGAUGUCAAUUCAAAGCAAAAAAAAACCUAAACGUAUCGCGCCAUAAAAACCCGCAUGCCGUAGAUGAAGUAUAAUUUGCUCUGAAAUAUCGUCUAAAUGCAAAAUCGUACACGUCCUUUUGCAGCCUAUCGCUCUAGUUUCUAUAGUUUGUUGCUAUAUAGUAACAUACCAAUGUUCUGAUUGCGCAUAUAGCAAUGAUGGGUCAUUAAGACCCGGUAAAAUAUAAACACGACGGUCACGGCAGUUGCGUCUUUCCUCCAUAUCUAAUUAUACAUAAUAAUAUACAAUAUCACAUCACAAUCAAAUACUAUACUAAUACAUAUUUAUUAAAUUUAUUAUAUUCAAAAUCACAAAAAAUUAUUCAAUAACCAUAUUAAAUUAUCAUUUAUAAAUUUUUAUCAAACUUAAUCACAAUUAAUUUUUC
rnacentral:lncRNA from 1 species